UUUUUACGUGUCCACCGUACAUUCUUUCGGCAAGUUUCGCCAGCUCUGUACGGCAAAGUUUGACACCGGACAUAGCUCAAAUGAAAGGUAAUGAAUCAGAGCAGGACCCACUUAAAUGAUUUUUUGGGGGUUAGGACCUUCUAGGAAUUGAAGGGGUUCAAAGUUGGUAUUAUUUUUUUUUUUACGUGUCCACCGUACAUUCUUUCGGAAAGUCUCGCCAGCUCCGUACGGCAAAGUUCGACACCGGACAUAUUUCAAAUGAAAGGUAAUGAAUCAAAGCAGGACCCACUUAAAUGAUUUUUGGGGGAUAGGACCUUCUGGGAAUUGAAGGGGUUCAAAGUUGGUAUUAUUUUUUUUUGACGUGUCCACCGUACAUUCUUUCGGCAAGUUUCGCCAGCUCUGUACGGCAAAGUUCAACACCGGACAUAGCUCAAAUGAAAGGUAAUGAAUCAGAGCAGGACCCACUUAAAUGAUUUUUUGGGGGUUAGGACCUUCUAGGAAUUGAAGGGGUUCAAAGUUGGUAUUAUUUUUUUUUUACGUGUCCACCGUACAUUCUUUCGGCAAGUCUCGCCAGCUCCGUACGGCAAAGUUCGACACCGGACAUAGCUCAAAUGAAAGGUAAUGAAUCAGAGCAGGACCCACUUAAAUGAUUUUUUGGGGGUUAGGACCUUCUGGGAAUUGAAGGGGUUCAAAGUUGGUAUUAUUUUUUUUUUACGUGUCCACCGUACAUUCUUUCGGCAAGUUUCGCCAGUUCUGUACGGCAAAGUUCAACACCGGACAUAGCUCAAAUGAAAGGUAAUGAAUCAGAGCAGGACCCACUUAAAUGAUUUUUUGGGGGUUAGGACCUUCUAGGAAUUGAAGGGGUUCAAAGUUGGUAUUAAUUUUUUUUUUACGUGUCCACCGUACAUUCUUUCGGCAAGUCUCGCCAGCUCCGUACGGCAAAGUUCGACACCGGACAUAGCUCAAAUGAAAGGUAAUGAAUCAGAGCAGGACCCACUUAAAUGAUUUUUUGGGGGUUAGGACCUUCUGGGAAUUGAAGGGGUUCAAAGUUGGUAUUAUUUUUUUUUUACGUGUCCACCGUACAUUCUUUCGGCAAGUUUCGCCAGCUCUGUACGGCAAAGUUCAACACCGGACAUAGCUCAAAUGAAAGGUAAUGAAUCAGAGCAGGACCCACUUAAAUGAUUUUUUGGGGGUUAGGACCUUCUAGGAAUUGAAGGGGUUCAAAGUUGGUAUUAUUUUUUUUUUACGUGUCCACCGUACAUUCUUUCGGCAAGUCUCGCCAGCUCCGUACGGCAAAGUUCGACACCGGACAUAGCUCAAAUGAAAGGUAAUGAAUCAGAGCAGGACCCACUUAAAUGAUUUUUUGGGGGUUAGGACCUUCUGGGAAUUGAAGGGGUUCAAAGUUGGUAUUAUUUUUUUUUUUACGUGUCCACCGUACAUUCUUUCGGCAAGUUUCGCCAGCUCUGUACGGCAAAGUUCAACACCGGACAUAGCUCAAAUGAAAGGUAAUGAAUCAGAGCAGGACCCACUUAAAUGAUUUUUUGGGGGUUAGGACCUUCUGGGAAUUGAAGGGGUUCAAAGUUGGUAUUAUUUUUUUUUUUACGUGUCCACCGUACAUUCUUUCGGCAAGUUUCGCCAGCUCUGUACGGCAAAGUUCAACACCGGACAUAGCUCAAAUGAAAGGUAAUGAAUCAGAGCAGGACCCACUUAAAUGAUUUUUUGGGGGUUAGGACCUUCUAGGAAUUGAAGGGGUUCAAAGUUGGUAUUAAUUUUUUUUUUACGUGUCCACCGUACAUUCUUUCGGCAAGUCUCGCCAGCUCCGUACGGCAAAGUUCAACACCGGACAUAGCUCAAAUGAAAGGUAAUGAAUCAGAGCAGAACCCACUUAAAUGAUUUUUUGGGGGUUAGGACCUUCUGGGAAUUGAAGGGGUUCAAAGUUGGUAUUAUUUUUUUUUUUACGUGUCCACCGUACAUUCUUUCGGCAAGUUUCGCCAGCUCUGUACGGCAAAGUUCAACACCGGACAUAGCUCAAAUGAAAGGUAAUGAAUCAGAGCAGGACCCACUUAAAUGAUUUUUUGGGGGUUAGGACCUUCUGGGAAUUGAAGGGGUUCAAAGUUGGUAUUAUUUUUUUUUUUACGUGUCCACCGUACAUUCUUUCGGCAAGUUUCGCCAGCUCUGUACGGCAAAGUUCAACACCGGACAUAGUUCAAAUGAAAGGUAAUGAAUCAGAGCAGGACCCACUUAAAUGAUUUUUUGGGGGUUAGGACCUUCUAGGAAUUGAAGGGGUUCAAAGUUGGUAUUAAUUUUUUUUUUACGUGUCCACCGUACAUUCUUUCGGCAAGUCUCGCCAGCUCCGUACGGCAAAGUUCGACACCGGACAUAGCUCAAAUGAAAGGUAAUGAAUCAGAGCAGGACCCACUUAAAUGAUUUUUUGGGGGUUAGGACCUUCUGGGAAUUGAAGGGGUUCAAAGUUGGUAUUAUUUUUUUUUUUACGUGUCCACCGUACAUUCUUUCGGCAAGUUUCGCCAGCUCUGUACGGCAAAGUUCAACACCGGACAUAGCUCAAAUGAAAGGUAAUGAAUCAGAGCAGGACCCACUUAAAUGAUUUUUUGGGGGUUAGGACCUUCUGGGAAUUGAAGGGGUUCAAAGUUGGUAUUAUUUUUUUUUUUACGUGUCCACCGUACAUUCUUUCGGCAAGUUUCGCCAGCUCUGUACGGCAAAGUUCAACACCGGACAUAGUUCAAAAGAAAGGUAAUGAAUCAGAGCAGGACCCACUUAAAUGAUUUUUUGGGGGUUAGGACCUUCUAGGAAUUGAAGGGGUUCAAAGUUGGUAUUAAUUUUUUUUUUACGUGUCCACCGUACAUUCUUUCGGCAAGUCUCGCCAGCUCCGUACGGCAAAGUUCGACACCGGACAUAGCUCAAAUGAAAGGUAAUGAAUCAGAGCAGGACCCACUUAAAUGAUUUUUUGGGGGUUAGGACCUUCUGGGAAUUGAAGGGGUUCAAAGUUGGUAUUAUUUACGUGUCCACCGUACAUUCUUUCGGCAAGUUUCGCCAGCUCUGUACGGCAAAGUUCAACACCGGACAUAGCUCAAAUGAAAGGUAAUGAAUCAGAGCAGGACCCACUUAAAUGAUUUUUUAGGGGUUAGGACCUUCUGGGAAUUGAAGGGGUUCAAAGUUGGUAUUAUUUUUUUUUUUACGUGUCCACCGUACAUUCUUUCGGCAAGUUUCGCCAGCUCUGUACGGCAAAGUUCAACACCGGACAUAGCUCAAAUGAAAGGUAAUGAAUCAGAGCAGGACCCACUUAAAUGAUUUUUUGGGGGUUAGGACCUUCUGGGAAUUGAAGGGGUUCAAAGUUGGUAUUAUUUUUUUUUUUACGUGUCCACCGUACAUUCUUUCGGCAAGUUUCGCCAGCUCUGUACGGCAAAGUUCAACACCGGACAUAGUUCAAAAGAAAGGUAAUGAAUCAGAGCAGGACCCACUUAAAUGAUUUUUUGGGGGUUAGGACCUUCUAGGAAUUGAAGGGGUUCAAAGUUGGUAUUAAUUUUUUUUUUACGUGUCCACCGUACAUUCUUUCGGCAAGUCUCGCCAGCUCCGUACGGCAAAGUUCGACACCGGACAUAGCUCAAAUGAAAGGUAAUGAAUCAGAGCAGGACCCACUUAAAUGAUUUUUUGGGGGUUAGGACCUUCUGGGAAUUGAAGGGGUUCAAAGUUGGUAUUAUUUACGUGUCCACCGUACAUUCUUUCGGCAAGUUUCGCCAGCUCUGUACGGCAAAGUUCAACACCGGACAUAGCUCAAAUGAAAGGUAAUGAAUCAGAGCAGGACCCACUUAAAUGAUUUUUUGGGGGUUAGGACCUUCUGGGAAUUGAAGGGGUUCAAAGUUGGUAUUAAUUUUUUUUUUACGUGUCCACCGUACAUUCUUUCGGCAAGUUUCGCCAGCUCUGUACAGCAAAGUUCAACACCGGACAUAGUUCAAAUGAAAGGUAAUGAAUCAGAGCAGGACCCACUUAAAUGAUUUUUUGGGGGUUAGGACCUUCUAGGAAUUGAAGGGGUUCAAAGUUGGUAUUAAUUUUUUUUUUACGUGUCCACCGUAAAUUCUUUCGGCAAGUCUCGCCAGCUCCGUACGGCAAAGUUCGACACCGGACAUAGCUCAAAUGAAAGGUAAUGAAUCAGAGCAGGACCCACUUAAAUGAUUUUUUGGGGGUUAGGACCUUCUGGGAAUUGAAGGGGUUCAAAGUUGGUAUUAUUUUUUUUUUUACGUGUCCACCGUACAUUCUUUCGGCAAGUUUCGCCAGCUCUGUACGGCAAAGUUCGACACCGGACAUAGCUCAAAUGAAAGGUAAUGAAUCAGAGCAGGACCCACUUAAAUGAUUUUUUGGGGGUUAGGACCUUCUGGGAAUUGAAGGGGUUCAAAGUUGGUAUUAUUUUUUUUUUUACGUGUCCACCGUACAUUCUUUCGGCAAGUUUCGCCAGCUCUGUACGGCAAAGUUCAACACCGGACAUAGCUCAAAUGAAAGGUAAUGAAUCAGAGCAGGACCCACUUAAAUGAUUUUUUGGGGGUUAGGACCUUCUGGGAAUUGAAGGGGUUCAAAGUUGGUAUUAUUUUUUUUUUUACGUGUCCACCGUACAUUCUUUCGGCAAGUUUCGCCAGCUCUGUACGGCAAAGUUCAACACCGGACAUAGUUCAAAAGAAAGGUAAUGAAUCAGAGCAGGACCCACUUAAAUGAUUUUUUGGGGGUUAGGACCUUCUAGGAAUUGAAGGGGUUCAAAGUUGGUAUUAAUUUUUUUUUUACGUGUCCACCGUACAUUCUUUCGGCAAGUCUCGCCAGCUCCGUACGGCAAAGUUCGACACCGGACAUAGCUCAAAUGAAAGGUAAUGAAUCAGAGCAGGACCCACUUAAAUGAUUUUUUGGGGGUUAGGACCUUCUGGGAAUUGAAGGGGUUCAAAGUUGGUAUUAUUUUUUUUUUACGUGUCCACCGUACAUUCUUUCGGCAAGUUUCGCCAGCUCUGUACGGCAAACUUCAACACCGGACAUAGUUCAAAUGAAAGGUAAUGAAUCAGAGCAGGACCCACUUAAAUGAUUUUUUGGGGGUUAGGACCUUCUAGGAAUUGAAGGGGUUCAAAGUUGGUAUUAAUUUUUUUUUUACGUGUCCACCGUACAUUCUUUCGGCAAGUCUCGCCAGCUCCGUACGGCAAAGUUCGACACCGGACAUAGCUCAAAUGAAAGGUAAUGAAUCAGAGCAGGACCCACUUAAAUGAUUUUUUGGGGGUUAGGACCUUCUGGGAAUUGAAGGGGUUCAAAGUUGGUAUUAUUUUUUUUUUUACGUGUCCACCGUACAUUCUUUCGGCAAGUUUCGCCAGCUCUGUACGGCAAAGUUCAACACCGGACAUAGCUCAAAUGAAAGGUAAUGAAUCAGAGCAGGACCCACUUAAAUGAUUUUUUGGGGGUUAGGACCUUCUGUGAAUUGAAGGGGUUCAAAGUUGGUAUUAUUUUUUUUUUUACGUGUCCACCGUACAUUCUUUCGGCAAGUUUCGCCAGCUCUGUACGGCAAAGUUCAACACCGGACAUAGCUCAAAUGAAAGGUAAUGAAUCAGAGCAGGACCCACUUAAAUGAUUUUUUGGGGGUUAGGACCUUCUAGGAAUUGAAGGGGUUCAAAGUUGGUAUUAAUUUUUUUUUACGUGUCCACCGUACAUUCUUUCGGCAAGUCUCGCCAGCUCCGUACGGCAAAGUUCGACACCGGACAUAGCACAAAUGAAAGGUAAUGAAUCAGAGCAGGACCCACUUAAAUGAUUUUUUGGGGGUUAGGACCUUCUGGGAAUUGAAGGGGUUCAAAGUUGGUAUUAUUUUUUUUUUACGUGUCCACCGUACAUUCUUUCGGCAAGUUUCGCUAGCUCUGUACGGCA